CGAGUCAGUGAGAUCAUCGCCGGAAAACUUCGGUUUUCGGGAGGAAAGUCCGGGCAUCGUAUGGCAAUGUAGCGGUUAAUGGCCGUCCACCGUGAGGUGAGGACAAGUGCAACAGAAAGGAAGUACAGGGGUCUGAGGACGUUUAUGGUAGCUUCGGCCGGGUAAACUCCGACGGUUCGUCCACCUGCUGUAGUGAAAACAGGUAAACUCUACGUGAUGCAAGCCCAAAUAGGUCUGUGCUUGAAGGUUGCCAGCCUGAGCAGACGGGUUGGGUGCUUGAGCCUAUCGGUAACGGUAGGCCUAGAUGAAUGAUGGUCCUCGACAGGACCCGGCUUACACGCUGGCUCGGUUU
rfam:Bacteriovorax sp. BSW11_IV contig00011, whole genome shotgun sequence.